rnacentral:rRNA from 1 species
AUUGAACGCUGGCGGCAGGCCUAACACAUGCAAGUCGAGCGGAUGAAGGGAGCUUGCUCCUGGAUUCAGCGGCGGACGGGUGAGUAAUGCCUAGGAAUCUGCCUGGUAGUGGGGGAUAACGUCCGGAAACGGGCGCUAAUACCGCAUACGUCCUGAGGGAGAAAGUGGGGGAUCUUCGGACCUCACGCUAUCAGAUGAGCCUAGGUCGGAUUAGCUAGUUGGUGGGGUAAAGGCCUACCAAGGCGACGAUCCGUAACUGGUCUGAGAGGAUGAUCAGUCACACUGGAACUGAGACACGGUCCAGACUCCUACGGGAGGCAGCAGUGGGGAAUAUUGGACAAUGGGCGAAAGCCUGAUCCAGCCAUGCCGCGUGUGGGAAGAAGGUCUUCGGAUUGUAAAGCACUUUAAGUUGGGAGGAAGGGCAGUAAGUUAAUACCUUGCUGUUUUGACGUUACCAAAAGAAUAAGCACCGGCUAACUUCGUG